ensembl:lncRNA
CUAACCUAGUCCAGCCCCUGGCUUGUCUCUCCUGGGCCCUCUCUGUGUGGGCCCUAAACCAGCCUGGUCCUGCCCCUCUCUGUGUGGGCCCUAAACACGAGGAAGGUUACCCCCCAGCACAAUAUGAGGCAGGUUACCCCCAGGACAAUAUGAGGCAGGUUACCCCCCAGGACAAUAUGAGGCAGGUUACCCCCCAGGACAAUAUGAAGCAGGUUACCCCCCAGGACAAUAUGAGGCAGGUUACCCCCCAGGACCAGGACAAUAUGAGGCCGACAUAAGGCAGGAAUAACCCCUGGGAGAAGGGUCUGGGAACCAUACCAUUCACGGACCACCUCUGCUUCCCAAUGCUCUCUUCCC